rnacentral:rRNA from 1 species
GAACGCUAGCUACAGGCUUAACACAUAGCAAGUCGAGGGGCAGCAUGAUCGAAGCUUGCUUUGAUCGAUGGCGACCGGCGCACGGGUGCGUAACACGUAUCCAAUCUACCCACCGCUCAGGGAUAGCCUUGCGAAAGUAAGAUUAAUACCUGAUGGUUUCCUUAUGUGGCAUCAUGUAUGGAAUAAAGAUUCAUCGGCGAUGGAUGAGGAUGCGUCCGAUUAGCUUGUUGGCGGGGUAACGGCCCACCAAGGCAACGAUCGGUAGGGGUUCUGAGAGGAAGGUCCCCCACACUGGAACUGAGACACGGUCCAGACUCCUACGGGAGGCAGCAGUGAGGAAUAUUGGUCAAUGGCCGAGAGACUGAACCAGCCAAGUAGCGUGAGGGAAGACUGCCCUAUGGGUUGUAAACCUCUUUUGUUCGGGAAUAAAGUGCCGCACGUGUGCGGUUUUGUAUGUACCGUUCGAAUAAGCAUCGGCUAAUUCCGUGCC